rnacentral:rRNA from 1 species
CCUACGGGUGGCUGCAGUGGGGAAUAUUGGACAAUGGGCGAAAGCCUGAUCCAGCCAUGCCGCGUGUGUGAAGAAGGCCUUCGGGUUGUAAAGCACUUUCAGUGGGGAAGAAAGCCUUGGGGCUAAUACCCUCGAGGAAGGACAUCACCCACAGAAGAAGCACCGGCUAACUCCGUGCCAGCAGCCGCGGUAAUACGGAGGGUGCGAGCGUUAAUCGGAAUUACUGGGCGUAAAGCGCGCGUAGGCGGUCUGAUAAGCCGGUUGUGAAAGCCCCGGGCUCAACCUGGGAACGGCAUCCGGAACUGUCAGGCUAGAGUGCAGGAGAGGAAGGUAGAAUUCCCGGUGUAGCGGUGAAAUGCGUAGAGAUCGGGAGGAAUACCAGUGGCGAAGGCGGCCUUCUGGACUGACACUGACGCUGAGGUGCGAAAGCGUGGGUAGCAAACAGGAUUAGAUAACCCAGUAGUC